CUGUGAGUCCGCGGUGUUUCCUGCUCCGCUCUGCCGCGCAGCGAGCCGCUUUCUGGGCGUCUGUCAGUCCGAGGCGGGCCCGCGGACCGUCCAGCGGGCGGACCUGUCCCCGGGACACGGGGACAAGGGGACUCCCGGAGGCCUAAACCUGUCUGCGGCGGCCAGGCAGCCGGUGUUCUGGACCCUCCCCGGGCGUUACCAUGGUGACGGUCUCCGGACGGGGACGCACUGAGCGUGCGCGGCGGAAGGGGGCGUGGCCACAGGCUGCGGGGCUCCGGCAGGAGGCCGGUGAAGGCAGAGGAGUAGAACCGCAGCAGGAGCAGCCCGAGGCGGCCGCAGGAGCCCGGACAGCCCGCGGGUGUGAGGAAGAUGAAGUGACCUUGCUGUCAUUGGAGGUUGAAGAUGAGGCCUCAGUGAAGAGCAAAGCAGUGCCAUGAGUAAAUCGCCGAGACUUCCGAAACCUUCAGGAGGGGGGAGGAGGAGGAGGCGCCUGAGGAGGAGCUCCAGAGCAACCCGGCCCACCAGCAGGUUCCAGGCCUCCAGCACCAUGGACUCCGCUCGCUCGGCCCUGAAGAGGAGGAGCAGGGAGGAGAUCGACUCCAGAUCUGACGGUAAAGUGGACCGGAGGUCGACCAGCGACAGCGACGACUCUGCGAGUGUGGGCGGCGAGCGGCCAGCGCACGGUGGACACGGCGGCCAGAACGGAGCCGUCAAACUGAACCGAGCCCCUUCACUUUACCAGGAACCGAGUAACAGUCAGUACUGCACCCACAUCAUUACAUCACAUCAUUACAUCAACACAUCACAACAUUACAUCACAUCACAUCAUUACAUCACAUUACUGCAU
rnacentral:lncRNA from 1 species